UACGGGGGGGGCAAGCGUUGUUCGGAAUUACUGGGCGUAAAGGGCGCGUAGGCGGUUUGCUACGUUGGAUGUGAAAACUCUGGGCUUAACCCAGAGCCUGCAUCCAAAACUGGCAAACUUGAGUACUGGAGGGGAAAGCGGAAUUCCUGGUGUAGCGGUGAAAUGCGUAGAUAUCAGGAGGAACACCGGUGGCGAAGGCGGCUUUCUGGACAGUAACUGACGCUGAGGCGCGAAAGCUAGGGGAGCAAACAGG
rnacentral:rRNA from 1 species